rnacentral:tRNA from 1 species
GUGCUCAUGUGGGAUUAGAACCCACAAUUUUUGUAUGCUAGACGAGUGCUAUAUCAACGAAGCUACCGAGCC